UGUGUAUUUUUGCAAGUGCGUUGCUGUUCUUCUCUUCUGCAAAUUUCAAUCUGUUACUCUCUAUUUGUUGAUGCAUCUGUUGCUGAGCUUUUUUUUUUACAAACCUUGCUGUAGCUGCGGAGGAGAACUUCCAUAAAAUAUGUCUCCUCCUUUAAGCAGAUAAGAAAUGAAAUGGACAACUGCGUUGGUCAAUCACAAUAUCUAGGUUAUUGGAAUGGCUGCAAGUUCAGCUCCAAAGGCAUUGUUACCACCCAUGAAAAAAGAGAAAAUAGCUCGGCAGGCACCCAUUAAAAUGAACUGAUAGAUGGAGCGCACCAACAAUUGAAAGAUAUAUAAAGAUACAAGCUGGUGUCUAGAAGAGAGUUUGAAUGCUUACAAACUCUGACAUUGUAACUGCAGAACUGAUAGAUGGAGCGCACCAACAAUUGAAAGAUACAAGCUGGUGUCUAGAAGAGAACGGAAAACACUGUGUCAGUAGAUUAUUCUAGAACUUCACAUCAUCUAGUCUUGUCUUUGCUGGUGGCUUCACUCAAAUGUAUUUGACUGUUACUUAUGCAGUUGUUCACUAACCUGAACUUUCUAUUUGGUAUUUUGCAUUGCAUGCUCACUUUUGUGUAAUGUUGCUUGAUUGCCUGUCGUUUUUAAUGAAGCGUGGAUAAGAAUGGUCAUAUGGU